rnacentral:rRNA from 1 species
AUUGAAUGCUGGCGGCAGGCUUAACACAUGCAAGUCGAGCGGAGAUGAGGUGCUUGCACCUUAUCUUAGCGGCGGACGGGUGAGUAAUGCUUAGGAAUCUGCCUAUUAGUGGGGGACAACAUUCCGAAAGGAAUGCUAAUACCGCAUACGUCCUACGGGAGAAAGCAGGGGAUCUUCGGACCUUGCGCUAAUAGAUGAGCCUAAGUCGGAUUAGCUAGUUGGUGGGUAAAGGCCUACCAAGGCGACGAUCUGUAGCGGGUCUGAGAGGAUGAUCCGCCACACUGGGACUGAGACGCGGCCCAGACUCCUACGGGAGGCAGCAGUGGGGAAUAUUGGACAAUGGGGGGAACCCUGAUCCAGCCAUGCCGCGUGUGUGAAGAAGGCCUUAUGGUUGUAAAGCACUUUAAGCGAGGAGGAGGCUACUGAGACUAAUACUCUUGGAUAGUGGACGUUACUCGCAGAAUAAGCACCGGCUAACUCUGUGCCAGCCGCCGCAGUAA